ensembl:lncRNA
GUGUAAGGCUCUCAGGAGAAGCCAGAUCCCAGUGGCAUUAGUGUGACAAACAAGCUGUGCCCAAGGAGCUGACACUCUGGCAGAGUCCAGGACAUCCAGGAAGACAGAGGUGGUGAGAUCACAGACCCUGGGAGUGUUGGGUAUUGCUACCUGCCAAAGGCCUGAAGUGUGCACUACUGUUGUGCUGGUGGUGGGAUUGUCAGAAGAUGAGGAGGCCAUCCUGAUAGAGACAGUGUAGGAAUCCCAGAAACAACAGGCCAUGUUGCUGCACGUGGCUAACCAUCGUUGAUUUUGCAUGUCAGUUUCUAAGCUGAUAUCACCAACUAUGACUCUGACAUACAAUGAAGCAGUCGAGGGCCAUGAGGCUUUUCUGACUGAGGCAACACAGCCUGGAGCCCAAAUCCCGAGGCUGUGCACCAAAGUCCUUCCGUUUGUCACUGGUGAGCAGAGUCUGACCUGAAAGUCUGGACCUGAUCUCUCAGUGAAGGCAAAACCACUUGACCUCUGAUUUUGAACUGCAAUUGUAGCUAAUGCUGCUAUUGAUUUAAAAAUCUAGUUCAAUAUGUGAAAAAAUACACUCUUCAAUCUCCUGGAACAUUCUGUCUCAGAGAGGACCAUGUCUACACGUCAAAGGAAAGACCAGAUCCUGGUGCUUUCCCACAAGAAGUUGCUCAAUGUGGCUACCAGGCAGGCCAAACAAAAGCCUCUGUCUGCAGACAGGAGGGCACCAACAAUGUGU